UACGUAGGGUGCGAGCGUGUCCGGAAUUAUUGGGCGUAAAGAGCUCGUAGGCGGUUUGUCGCGUCGGCCGUGAAAACUUGGGGCUUAACCCCAAGCCUGCGGUCGAUACGGGCAGACUUGAGUUCGGCAGGGGAGACUGGAAUUCCUGGUGUAGCGGUGAAAUGCGCAGAUAUCAGGAGGAACACCGGUGGCGAAGGCGGGUCUCUGGGCCGAUACUGACGCUGAGGAGCGAAAGCGUGGGGAGCGAACAGG
rnacentral:rRNA from 1 species